AUACUUAUCAUUACAAAAUGGGAACUUGAUUAACAUAAAUAUUUUUGGUAUUGAUGAUAGAGGUGAAAUAAACUAGGCAGGACGCCAGUUCGAUUCUGGCCGCCUCCACCAAACACAUAGGAAUAGAUGAAUGACACAAGCAGGUUGUUAUUGUGGACAUUAUUCAUCGUUGCAGUAGUUAUUUUAUUAGAAUUAUUAGAAAUGCUUACUGUGUAGUUGAUGGGGGCGAAAAUGGGUGUUCGACUGAUAGAAUAAAGACCGAAGGAGAUACCCAGUUGAGCAACGACUGUAUAAUAGUGCAACUAAAAUAAUCGCAAAUAAUUCCGAUUAUAUUUCCGCAUCUUCUUACGCACUUGCUGCGUAAUUAGAUAGCCGAGUUAGAACUAUGGUUCGGGGGGAGUGGCUUGGGAACAGAACAACUUCCCC
rnacentral:tmRNA from 1 species